rnacentral:tRNA from 1 species
AAGACACCGCCCUUUCACGGCGGUAACACGGGUUCGAAUCCCGUACGGGUCACCACUCGGAGGAUUAGCUCAGCU